rnacentral:lncRNA from 1 species
GCAAUGGGCGGGGCAACGGCGGUGCCCCGCCCACCCGGCUCGCUGCUGUCGCUCACGCCAGGUGGGGGGCGUGGCUUGCGUUCGCCCCGCCCUCCCGGCUCUCUGCUCUCAUUGGCCACAGCUGGGAGGGGCGUGGCCGGGCGGGGCGGUGGCCCCUUCCCCCUAUUGGCUGCCCGCAGCCCAGGCUCCGCCUCCUUCCAGCGGGCGGCCACGCCCUUUUUGGCCACACCCACGCGCGGGGGGUGGAGCCCUCGCUCCCCCUCCUCCCCCUUCCUCCGGGGGGGCGUGGCCGGGGGGGCGUGGCCUCGGCUGGGCGGGGGCGGUUCCUGCCUGCACCGUUUCCACGGCAACCUCGGGGGGGCGGGGCUGGGCUGCUCCGCCCGCUUAGGGGGCGGGGCCUGCAUGCACCGUUUCCACGGCGGCAUGGGCGUGGCCUCGGUGGCGGCAGCCAAUCGCAUGAGCCCCUGCGGCCACCGCGGCUGCUGCUACCACGGCAGGGGCGGGGCCUCGCUGGGAGGGGGCGGGGCCACGCCUAGAAGCCCCUCCCCUUUCGCCAUGACGCCCAGCAUGGCCGCCCGCAUGGCCCAGUACUCCCAGUACGGCUCCACCUCCUCCCAGCUAAGCUCCGCCUCCCAGUACUCCCAGUACUCCCAGUACGCCCAGCUGGCCUCCCAGUACUCCCAGUAUUCCCAGUAUGGCGCCGCCGAGAGCUCCCAGUACGGCGCCGGCGACGCCUCCCAGUACGCCCAGUACGCCGCCAGCGCCGCCCAGUACGCGGCAGCAGCCAAUAGCGGCGCAGGGGGCGGGGCCAGCGAGGCCUCCCAGUACGGAGCCGCAACUGGGAGCCAGUACGGAGCUGGAGGGGGCGGGGCUCAAAGCACGGCGGGAGGCGGGGCUGCGGCGGGAGGGGGCGGGGCUGCGGCGGGAGGGGGCGGGGCUACGUGGGCGGGGGAGGGCGGGGCGCAGGAAGGGUGGGGGGGGAGCGGGGGAGGGGUGAGCUGGGGGAAUUGGGUGUCGCCCGCUCAAUGA